UACGGGGGGGGCAAGCGUUGUUCGGAAUUACUGGGCGUAAAGGGCUCGUAGGCGGCCAACUAAGUCGGACGUGAAAUCCCUCGGCUUAACCGGGGAACUGCGUCCGAUACUGGAUGGCUUGAGUUCGGGAGAGGGAUGCGGAAUUCCAGGUGUAGCGGUGAAAUGCGUAGAUAUCUGGAGGAACACCGGUGGCGAAGGCGGCAUCCUGGACCGACACUGACGCUGAGGCGCGAAAGCUAGGGGAGCAAACAGG
rnacentral:rRNA from 1 species